GACGAACGCUGGCGGCGUGCUUAACACAUGCAAGUCGAGCGGUAAGGCCCUUCGGGUACACGAGCGGCGAACGGGUGAGUAACACGUGGGUGACCUGCCUCUAGCUCUGGGAUAAGCCUGGGAAACUGGGUCUAAUACCGGAUAUGACUCCACGGCGCAUGUUGUGGGGUGGAAAGCCUUGUGUGGCUAGAGAUGGGCCCGCGGCCUAUCAGCUUGUUGGUGGGGUGAUGGCCACCAAGGCGACGACGGGUAGCCGGCCUGAGAGGGCGACCGGCCACACUGGGACUGAGACACGGCCCAGACUCCUACGGGAGGCAGCAGUGGGGAAUCUUGCGCAAUGGGCGAAGGCCUGACGCAGCGACGCCGCGUGAGGGAUGACGGCCU
rnacentral:rRNA from 1 species